AGACCCGAAACCCGGUGAUCUAGCCAUGGGCAGGUUGAAGGUUGGGUAACACUAACUGGAGGACCGAACCGACUAAUGUUGAAAAAUUAGCGGAUGACCUGUGGCUGGGGGUGAAAGGCCAAUCAAACCGGGAGAUAGCUGGUUCUCCCCGAAAGCUAUUUAGGUAGCGCCUCGUGAAUUCAUCUCCGGGGGUAGAGCACUGUUUCGGCUAGGGGGCCAUCCCGGCUUACCAACCCGAUGCAAACUGCGAAUACCGGAGAAUGUUAUCACGGGAGACACACGGCGGGUGCUAACGUCCGUCGUGAAGAGGGAAACAACCCAGACCGCCAGCUAAGGUCCCAAAGUCAUGGUUAAGUGGGAAACGAUGUGGGAAGGCCCAGACAGCCAGGAUGUUGGCUUAGAAGCAGCCAUCAUUUAAAGAAAGCGUAAUAGCUCACUGGUCGAGUCGGCCUGCGCGGAAGAUGUAACGGGGCUAAACCAUGCACCGAAGCUGCGGCAGCGAACGUAUCACCCAAGACAACUUUACGGAGUUGACGAUUGACGGAGCGAAGCGACGUCAAAGCGUUCAUUAAAGUCGAGUUGGCUUAGGGAUACGUUCGUUGGGUAGGGGAGCGUUCUGUAAGCCUGUGAAGGUGUGUCGUGAGGCAUGCUGGAGGUAUCAGAAGUGCGAAUGCUGACAUAAGUAACGAUAAAGCGGGUGAAAAGCCCGCUCGCCGGAAGACCAAGGGUUCCUGUCCAACGUUAAUCGGGGCAGGGUGAGUCGACCCCUAAGGCGAGGCCGAAAGGCGUAGUCGAUGGGAAACGGGUUAAUAUUCCCGUACUUGGUGUUACUGCGAAGGGGGGACGGAGAAGGCUAUGUUGGCCGGGCGACGGUUGUCCCGGUUUAAGCGUGUAGGUGUGUGUUCCAGGUAAAUCCGGUUCACUUUAACACUGAGGCGUGACGACGAGGCACUACGG
rnacentral:rRNA from 3 species